ensembl:lncRNA
UUCCCAUUAAGGCGAGAAGAAUGGCCGGACUUCCCCCUCUCUGUUUGCGUGUGGCUGAGGCUCCGUCCUUCGCUAAUUCCGUGCUACGUUAAUUAACUGUUGGCUUUCCUCCCCCGUGCCAUUCCGGGGCUGUUUGCAGACCCCUUAAUCCGGAAUGCAUCGGUUUGAUUCCGAGCGCGGGUUCAUAAAUAUCCAAUAAACACAGAGUGGGAAUAAUUAGCGGCGUUUAUCAGCAUAUGGCCCACCCACCCCACUCUGAAACCUUCCAGACCCCCGCGAGAGGAAAACGAAGUACGCGGCGAGUAAUUAGUUUCAAGCAAAUCAUUCCGAAUGGAAACUUAUAGACGCGGGUCAGCAAAACACCGCCACGGAGAACACAUAAACCAUCGGGAUAUCUCAUUAUAGAAACCUCUGCCAAAGUCUAUUCGGAUCCAGGUUCGCGCAGUGCCCCUCCGAAGCUCAAUGGGGGGAGAAGCGGCGAUCGUUGAGGAGAGUGUGGAAAUUCAUUUCGUUUUUACGGCGAUCCGGUAAAGCCUUACGAGGUGAUGCGAGACGUUGCGAAAGGAGAAAGUAUUUAAGAAAUUAGGGAUGGAAAAGUAGGGUUGGAGAGCCGAAGUGGCAGCGAGGAAUGCCGGGCAGCCUUCGGGUCUUGUAAAGUGGGGGGGGGGGGGAGGAAGGGGGAAAUAAAAAGGAAAAAGAAAAGGCCGUAUGGAUUACCUCAAAUCGAAAUAUCUUGAGGCAGAAGUAAUAGAAAACGGGAUAUUUUUCAUAGGCGGAUUGUGUUGGUGGAAAUGACCCUCGCGGGGUUUUGAGGGGAGCUGAGGGGGUCACUCUGUGGGGCUGGGGGGGGGGGGGGGGGGCGGUGUACGUCCCCCCCGUGCAUGGAACCACCAUCACAGCACUGCUCCGGGGUUUGGAGUUGGGGGGGCAGAGAACGGAGCAGUUCAGUGCACCCACCGGGACGGGGAAAAGCUGAAUUGGGACUCUGCUUUUCGAGUUCCCCCCCACCUUUUUUUUGGGGGGGGGGGGGAGGGGGGAUGGCGGACAGCUCAGGGCUUUCCCGUUGGGUUCCACCCCCCCGCGAUGGCUCCUUACACCUUAUUCACCCCCCGACCUCCCCCCCGUUUCCAGUUCCACCGCCCAUCCAGAGCCCCCAACACUGACUUUAUGGGUAUUUAAACCCAUCCUCUUCAUCUGUAAUUGUGGGUGAAGAGUAUUUAUUGCGCCGGUGGAUAACCAGAUAUAUAAUUAUCUCUUUAUAGAGAGACGGUGAAAUAAAGCAUCUGUCCCCCCCCCCCCCUUCAUCCCCCCCCACCCGGCCGCACACAAAGGCGGAGGAAUACGGACAAAGUUACACAUUUGCACCGCCGCUCCAUUUGUAUUUUUCCUUCCCCCCCCCCCCCCCCCCCCCAAAAUGCGUUCACCAAAGACUGAGGAUCGUCUCUUCCAACUUCAACCCGACCAAAUCGAACCGAUUUAUUCAUUUCUUCUUGUUUUUUUCCUCUUUCUUUUUUCCUGAUGGGGGGAAAGAAAACCCCCGUUUGUGAAGAGGAGCCGCUCUGACCGCCGCAGUUCUGCACUGGCCUUUUUUGGGGGGAGAAAAGAAAGGGAUUUGGGGAUGUUUCUGAUGUAUCGGGGUGGAAUGGAGGGAGUUGGGGGCCAAAGGGGUGAGGGAGUGGGGAUGAGGGGGCACUGGGGGGGGGGGGGGGAGAAUGUCCGAGAGACGGCAAUGGGGAUUGGCUUUGGGGCAGCGGAGGAAAUUUGGCUUCAGCUCUAUCCCUGCGGCGGAUCGAAUCCCCGGGGGCUGCGGGACAGGAGGAGCCAACCCAGGCCUUUUUGGUAUUAUUUUUCAUGGUCUUUUUAAAAUUGUACUUUUGAAUUAUUUUUCUUUCAUUUUUCCUUUCCUUUCCUUUCCUUUCCUUUCCUUUCCUUUCCUUUCCUUUCCUUUCCUUUCCUUUCCUUUCCUUUCCGUUCCGUUCCGUUCCGUUCCGUUCCGUUCCGUUCCGUUCCCUUCCGUUUCCCUUCCGUUUCCCUUCCGUUUCCCUUCCGUUUCCCUUCCGUUUCCCUUCCCUUCCCUUCCCUUCCCUUCCCUUCCCUUCCCUUCCCUUCCCUUCCCUUCCCUUCCCUUCCCUUCCCUUCCCUUCCCUUCCCUUCCCUUCCCUUCCCUUCCCUUCCCUUCCCUUCCCUUCCCUUCCCUUCCCUUCCCUUUUCCCUAUCACAUUUCACGUUACUUCCCUUCUUUCAUGUUAUUUUCCUCUAUUUCGCCCAUUUCCAUCAUUUUCCUUCCUCUUCCUUCUCCCUCCCUCACAUUUUCCCCCUUCUCUCCCUCCUCCGCACCCGCGGAGCGGUGCGGAUCGCGGGGCUGCGGGCGGGAGGAGCCGUCGGGGCCGCCCGUCUGUCUGUGUGGGCGGGGGCGGCCCCGCAAAGUGAAGGUCAAAGUGAAGGCUCCGUCCGCCCCUCCGCGCCGCUCCGCCGCAACGCCACGGCCGCCUCAGAGCCGCUCUUUGCUUCGGACCCCCCCACAGCCGCCCCCUCCCCUCCAUAUCCACCACGGGGGGAGGAGGGGGAGCAGAGAGCCAUACGCGGUCACAGCAAAACCCUCCAACCCCAAACGACGGAGUAAUGCCAAGAGGACUUCUGAUGCUGCACGGGACCGUGCGGAGCCGCGGUGCCACGAAACAAAUCCAUUCCUGAGGGGGUUUUUUUGCCCCCAUCCCUCCUCUUCUCCAACUCCAAACGAGAGACAGAAGUGCCGUUGCACACGUGGGUGUCCUCCGGGGGUAAAGGGGUGCGUGUGCACGGGAAGGGCUGGUGCGUGGGGCAUCCCUGCAUGGAGGUGGGUGAGGAUGAGCGUUCCUCAUCCCUUCACCUUCCUCCCGUCCACCGGCAGUGUUUGCUUUCCCAGCCCGAGCUCCGGGUUGGGCGGAGGUCCCCCCGUGAAGCAGCAAAAGGAUUUCUCUUCGUUUCGUUCCGAGCGACGCGGGUGUGAAGGAGAAAACCCAUUGCCGCAAAUGGGGACGGUCGGAGCCAGUCCCCAAAAACGGGCUGAGAUUCCCCCUACGCUCAAUGGGCGUUCGGGGGAAGUGCAAUUAUAUAUAUCUAUAUAAAUAAUAAUAAAAAUGGGGGGAUGCGGGAGCCGAGGUAUUAAAGAGCACCGAGGAAAGGAACUGACUUCCUGAGUGCUUAAGGAUUAAUACCGCUCCUGCAAACGUGUGUGUGGUUUUAAUAGGGCUGCGAGGAUUAACUGCCCACCUUCCAUUCCGAGCGCCGCUCGAAAAGAGCAUUUCAGGGCUAUUUUGCUAAUAUACGGUCUGCCCGGCAGAAAGCACAUUUUCCCUGCCACCAUUUCCGACUUUUUUGCCCAGUUUCGCACGUUUUGAUGUCACUGUUUAAGUUAUCAAGCCUGGAGAAUAAAGGGAUUUUCUUACUGAUGAAGGUUUGGGUGUGUUUUAUUUCUCUUCUUUUGUGUUUAAAUGAGGAUUUUGAGAGGUUUGGAGAUGGGGUUAAGAGAGAGAAGGGUGUGGGAUUGAAAUAGGUGCUGUUUAAUGAUCUCCUCCUGGUUUCCCGUCUCUCUGGGUUGCAUUUCUCAGCGGCUCCGGGACUUCCAUGCAUUGGAAGUUCGACCCGAACCCCCCACCCCCAAAAUCCGUCUCUCCCCACGCUGCGGCAGCUCUCUGCCAUCCAAGAAAAGGGAAAAUAGAGAGAGAAGCAAAUAGAUGAGAACACACACCCCACCCUGGCAUCCCCCUCCCCGGCUUCGCGUGGGCUGAUGAG